rnacentral:rRNA from 1 species
GAUGAACGCUAGCGGCAGGCCUAAUACAUGCAAGUCGGACGGGAUCCGUCGGAGAGCUUGCUCGAAGACGGUGAGAGUGGCGCACGGGUGCGUAACGCGUGAGCAACCUACCUCUAUCAGGGGGAUAGCCUCUCGAAAGAGAGAUUAACACCGCAUAACAUAUCUGACCGGCAUCGGUUAGCUAUUAAAUAUUUAUAGGAUAGAGAUGGGCUCGCGUGACAUUAGCUAGUUGGUAGGGUAACGGCUUACCAAGGCGACGAUGUCUAGGGGCUCUGAGAGGAGAAUCCCCCACACUGGUACUGAGACACGGACCAGACUCCUACGGGAGGCAGCAGUAAGGAAUAUUGGUCAAUGGGCGGAAGCCUGAACCAGCCAUGCCGCGUGCAGGAUGACUGCCCUAUGGGUUGUAAACUGCUUUUGUCCAGGAAUAAACCUUUCUACGUGUAGGAAGCUGAAUGUACUGGAAGAAUAAGGAUCGGCUAACUCCGUGCCAGCAGCCGCGGUAAUACGGAGGAUCCGAGCGUUAUCCGGAUUUAUUGGGUUUAAAGGGUGCGUAGGCGGCCUAUUAAGUCAGGGGUGAAAUACGGUGGCUCAACCAUCGCAGUGCCUUUGAUACUGAUGGGCUUGAAUCCAUUUGAAGUGGGCGGAAUAAGACAAGUAGCGGUGAAAUGCAUAGAUAUGUCUUAGAACUCCGAUUGCGAAGGCAGCUCACUAAGCUGGUAUUGACGCUGAUGCACGAAAGCGUGGGGAUCGAACAGGAUUAGAUACCCUGGUAGUCCACGCCCUAAACGAUGAUAACUCGAUGUUGGCGAUAGACAGCCAGCGUCCAAGCGAAAGCGUUAAGUUAUCCACCUGGGGAGUACGCCCGCAAGGGUGAAACUCAAAGGAAUUGACGGGGGCCCGCACAAGCGGAGGAGCAUGUGGUUUAAUUCGAUGAUACGCGAGGAACCUUACCCGGGCUUGAAAGUUAGUGAAGAGUGCAGAGACGCACUCGUCCUUCGGGACACGAAACUAGGUGCUGCAUGGCUGUCGUCAGCUCGUGCCGUGAGGUGUUGGGUUAAGUCCCGCAACGAGCGCAACCCCUAUGUUUAGUUGCCAGCAUGUAAUGGUGGGGACUCUAAACAGACUGCCUGUGCAAACAGAGAGGAAGGUGGGGACGACGUCAAGUCAUCAUGGCCCUUACGUCCGGGGCUACACACGUGCUACAAUGGAUGGUACAGCGGGCAGCUACAUAGCAAUAUGAUGCUAAUCUCUAAAAGCCAUUCACAGUUCGGAUUGGGGUCUGCAACUCGACCCCAUGAAGUUGGAUUCGCUAGUAAUCGCGUAUCAGCAAUGACGCGGUGAAUACGUUCCCGGGCCU